rnacentral:rRNA from 1 species
CUACGGGUGGCACCAGUGGGGAAUAUUGGACAAUGGGCGCAAGCCUGAUCCAGCAAUGCCGCGUGAGUGAAGACGGCCUUAGGGUUGUAAAACUCUUUCGCUAGGGAAGAUAAUGACUGUACCUAGCAAAGAAGUCCCGGCUAACUCCGUGCCAGCAGCCGCGGUAAUACGGAGGGGACUAGCGUUGUUCGGAAUUACUGGGCGUAAAGAGUUCGUAGGCGGACUGACAAGUUAGAGGUGAAAUCCCAGGGCUCAACCCUGGAACUGCCUUUAAAACUGUCAGUCUAGAGACCGGAAGAGGUUAGGGGAAUACCUAGUGUAGAGGUGAAAUUCGUAGAUAUUAGGUGGAACACCAGUGGCGAAGGCGCCUAACUGGUCCGGUACUGACGCUGAGGAACGAAAGCGUGGGGAGCAAACAGGAUUAGAUACCCCAGUAGUC